rnacentral:rRNA from 1 species
UACGUAGGCAGCAAGCGUUGUUCGGAGUUACUGGGCGUAAAGGGUGUGUAGGCGGUUGUUUAAGUUUGGUGUGAAAUCUCCCGGCUCAACUGGGAGGGUGCGCCGAAUACUGAAUGACUUCGAGUGCGGGAGAGGAGAGUGGAAUUCCUGGUGUAGCGGUGAAAUGCGCAGAUAUCAGGAAGAACACCAAUGGCGAAGGCAGCUCUCUGGGACGGUACUGACGCUGAGACGCGAAAGCGUGGGGAGCGAACAGG